UCUAGCUUCUGGAUUUUUUUUUUUUUUUUUUUUUUGGCUUAUAUAAAAUUUUUUGCACAUUUUUCCAUCUAUUGAGGAAGUUUACACAACCCUAAAGGCCUGUUCACACCAAGAACGAUAACUAUAAAAAUAACGAUAAAGAUAUAGUUCUAAAAAUCAUUUUAAGUAUAAAAGAAUAGCACUGUCCACACCACAGCUAUAAGGAUAACGAUAUAGAGAAACAAUAUCGUUGGGAUCACUUUCAGAACGAUUUUUUUCCAGCUGUUGAACGAUAAAAAACUGACAACCAAUCAGAAUCCAUUCUGAUUUAAGGGCUCGCGCAUUUAAAAUGGCAGAGAAGUUAAUCGCCGAGGUCCAGAAAAAAGCGACUAGUUUUACAAAUCAAAUCCCCUUUUCAAGGAUACUUUAAAGAAAAUGGAUGUAUGGAAAACAAUCGGUCAUACCCUCCAAAUAAAUGGGGUUUGAAUAUGUGAAAGAAGAAGGAGAGUGCUGUGGAUCAUGUACACAAGCGGCCUGUAUUUAUGAUGCCCCAGACAACACCAAACAUGUUCUCAAUGAAGGAAUGGAG